CAUGGAGUUGAAUAGAUUAGGCCGCAGGCUUUCUGUUCCAUUUAUUCUGAUGUAAAUCUGUUGUUCUAAAUCUUUACUUUUCUCAUAUAAGUGGGGGCAUGGGUGAAUUAUCAUUGGCUGAUAGGGCUACUAUUGCUAAUAUGUCUCCUGAAUAUGGAGCAACCAUGGGUUUCUUUCCUGUAGAUCAUGUCACUCUACAAUCUCUCACGCUAACAAGAUGAAGUGAUGAAACUGUGGCAAUGAUAGAAGCCUAUCUGAGAGCAAACAACAUGUUCGUUGACUACAACGAGGUAUACAUCUUUCUUAACCAUUCAGUUUUAAUUGAGCAUUUGACUCUGAAAUGUAAUUGAUUUCUUUUUGUGGAUCCAUCCUAAAAAAGAGAGUAUAUUCAUCUUAUCUAGAUCUGGACCUUGCAGAUGUUGAACCCUGCAUCUCAGGUCCAAAGCAGUAUGUUCGUGUUAGUUUAAUCCUUGUGCUAUAUUCACUCAGUUGUUGAAUCAUUAUAUUCAAGUUGGAGAUAUUGCAGGAAAGGUAUUGUAUUUGGGUCAGUAGGCGUUUAGACUGAGCUUCUCUUGUUUUUGGUAUGACUUCGUUAUAUGGCUUUAAAGUCGCUAGUAUGGAGUUAUUAUGGAAAAUUUGUUGUUAUUUUUUAUUGAAUAAAUUAGUUUCACCAAGUUAAUGAGGGCUGCCUGUCAUGCAAUUCCUCUGGCUUGUUAAUGGUUGGAAAAAAAGACAGUUAUAUUUUUUUCUUGUUUAUAAUUCCUCUUGCUUGUUAAUGCUUGUUGAAGGUCUCCUCUUUUGUGUAUGGUCAUCUUCAUAGGAGAGGCCAUUUCAUGUGUCGCUCAAUGUCCUAGACACUUACCGUUUCUGAAAAGUGGGGAGGAAAAGAUUGAAAACAGGUGAAUUUUGACUGUGUUUCCUUAUUGUUUCUGAAAUUUUGCUUGUGUUUCACCUACUAAACUUUUUUUCUCUCCUCACGUGGUUGAUAAUCUUCAUGAUUUUGUUUGACUGUAAUGUUUUCGAUCUGAUGUGUAAUCUGUAUUCUAGUAGACAUGUCGGAAGGAGUGCUGCGAACUCUUUCUCUGCAAGCAUUAGGCCUGGUUUUCAUCAAUUGCCAAUGUGGGCCACAUUCAAAUUAUAGAAAUACAAUGACGACCAUGACUUCUUGCCAAUGGAUGCAAGUUUUUCUAAUUGAUGGAUCUACAUCAGUUUUGUAGCCAGCUUUUGACCUUAGGGGGUGCAUAUGUAUAUUUGUGUAACGUUUUGUAAACAGAAUAAAUUACUACAUUUUGUUGUGUAAAUAGACAAGUCACUCAUGGCACUCUUUCACCAUUUAUUUUUCUUGCUGGAUGAAAUUGGGUGUUGAUAUUCAACUUGGGAUGGCAAUCGAUAGUACAAAGGCUACACUAGCAGUGAAACGGAGGCUUGCCUGUGAGAUGGUGAAGUACUGGCAUAUCGCUUGCCAAUGUUUCAGAUUCAUCUAAAACCAAAGGUCCUAUCCAUUGAAUAUUAGAUAAAUGAUUAUGAUUGUCUUGUCAUGUUAUUUCUUUUUCAGGAUCUCGAUUGGAAAAUGGAUCUGUUUCAGUUAAAAGCAAGUUUGAUGAUAAAAUAGAGGCCGCUUCAGCUAAAAUGUACUUCCAUUAUUAUCAGUACCCAUGCCAUGUUGCUUUUUCUUAUUUAUGCACUGUAUGCAGUUCUUAUCUUCUUCUU